CCUACGGGGGGCAGCAGUGAGGAAUAUUGGUCAAUGGGAGAGAUCCUGGACCAGCCAAGCCGCGUGAGGGAAGACGGCCCUAUGGGUUGUAAACCUCUUUUGUCGGAGAACAAAACCCGGGACGAGUCCCGGACUGCGUGUAUCCGAAGAAAAAGCAUCGGCUAACUCCGUGCCAGCAGCCGCGGUAAUACGGAGGAUGCGAGCGUUAUCCGGAUUUAUUGGGUUUAAAGGGUGAGUAGGCGGUCCGUUAAGUCAGCGGUAACAUUGCGGGGCCCAUCGCAGUCGAGCCGUUGUAACUG
rnacentral:rRNA from 1 species